rnacentral:rRNA from 1 species
UACAGAGGGGUGCGAGCGUUAAUCGGAAUUACUGGGCGUAAAGCGCGCGUAGGCGGCUUUGCAAGCCGGAUGUGAAAUCCCCGGGCUUAACCUGGGAACUGCAUUCGGGACUGCAUUGCUAGAGUAUGGGAGAGGGAAGUGGAAUUUCAGGUGGUGAAGCGGUUGAAAAUGCGUAGAUAUCUGAAGGAACAUCAGUGGCGAAAGCGACUUCCUGGACCAAUACUGACGCUCAUGUGCGAAAGCGUGGGGAGCAAACAGG